rnacentral:rRNA from 1 species
AUUGAACGCUGGCGGCAUGCCUAACACAUGCAAGUCGAACGCGAAAGGGCUUCGGCCUGAGUAGAGUGGCGGACGGGUGAGUAAUGUGUGGGAAUCUGCCCUGCAGUGGGGGACAACCCGGGGAAACUCGGGCUAAUACCGCAUACGACCUACGGGUGAAAGGGGGGUUUCGGCCUCUCGCUGCAGGAUGAGCCCACAUCCGAUUAGCUAGUUGGUGGGGUAAAGGCCCACCGAGGCGACGAUCGGUAGCUGGUCUGAGAGGAUGAUCAGCCACACUGGGACUGAGACACGGCCCAGACUCCUACGGGAGGCAGCAGUGGGGAAUAUUGGACAAUGGGCGCAAGCCUGAUCCAGCAAUGCCGCGUGUGUGAAGAAGGCC